ensembl:misc_RNA Metazoa_SRP Metazoan signal recognition particle RNA
GCCAGGCACAGUGGGACUUGCCUGUAGUCCCAGCUACUCAGGAGGCUGACGUGGGAAGAUCACUUGAGCCCAGGAGUUCUGGGCUGUAGUGCACUAUGCCCAUUAGGUGUCCGCACUAAGUUCAGCAUCAAUAUGGUGACUGGGAGGGAGCAGGGGCCCACCAGGUUGCCUAAGGAGAGGUGAACCGGCCCAGGUCAGAAACAAAGCAGGUCAAAACUCCCAUGCUGAUCAGUAGUGGGAUGGCGCCUGUGAAUAGUUACUGCACUCCAGCCUGGGCAACAUGGCAAGACCCUGUCUCU